AUAUAAAAGGAGCAUGCUGUCAGGGCUCUGUGUGUCAAAAGGUGAUUUCAGGAAAGAUAUAUUAUCCCUAAUGAGGGAAGAUGCAUUUCUGGCCUUCAGAAGACAGAACAAUGGAAAGGAAAUGCCUGGCCAGGAAGAGUCUCCUGGCACUUGGCACCUGUGUCAGAGAACUGGGCCACUUACCUUCAGUGCCUCUUGGCAGAAAGCAAGGUAUUUCCUAAUGGAGACUGAUGAUGCCGGAACUCAGAGAGAUAAUGAACUGAAACAGGAUUCCUCUCUGAAUUGAAAGUCAGGGCUGGUGAUAAUGAAUGCAGUUGUCUCUAUUGAGCCUGGAAGCUCCACUCUGCAUGGAACGUUGUGAAAUGAGCCCUUGCGUGUAGAACAACAGAUUGUGAAGAGAGAAAUCUAUGUUUAAAUCUAUGUUUAAAUUGCUGUUAAACUGAGCUAAGCAAAGUUGAGCCAUACCCUUCCAGCUCAAAAGAUUAAUCCUACAAGUUAGGUGCUCAGCAAUCUCUAAGAGGCUUGAAAACUUCUCUCAAGUCUUCCAGGCAUCAGAAAGAAAACAGGCACAAAAUUCCUGUGGAGGAGCUUAAGCAUCUCAAGGGCAACUCACAACUCUUUCUCUGAAUGGAGGGACAUCAAGUCAGAAGCUUGUGAUAUUGUGAGGUGAACAAAAGACAGAACCCUCAGGUGCAAGUACUUCAAAAAUCUAGAGAGAUGUUUUCCGGGGCUGAAGAGUAUUAGUAAAAUAUCCUAGACUUGGGGCAUGUUACAGAAGGAAUGUUUAUCUUUUAAUAAGAUCAGAUAACAAGUCUACGGAUCCUGGACUCCCACUGUAACUCCCGACAUCGCUAGCAAUUCUUCUGUGCUGAAUAGAAAAAGUUGGAUCUGGACUGGAGAGAUUUGCUCUUGAGCUUUUGUCUGGGACAAUGGAGAGCAAAGAUGAAUAAGACAGACUCCUGCCUUCAGGUGUUGAGCAGAGGAAAAGAAGAUCCAUAAAGCACUAGCGAUGAUCAUUAUGGAGAGGGCUGUACCAGGGAUAGUGCAGGAAAAUGGUAAGGCUGGAGCAGAACCACUGGCCUGGAAGAUGAAGAAAGUGGAGCUCAGAAUGAUUAAAUAAAUUUCCAAGGUCACAACUAGUUAUGGGUAAGCUAUGAUUUGAACCUAGGUGUGUCUG